rnacentral:rRNA from 1 species
UUAAAUGUAAAAUUUUUAUUUAAUUAUUAUUAGUUAUAUUCUUUAAAAUUAAAAAUUUUGGCGGUAUUUUAGUCUUUUUAGAGGAACCUGUUCUUUAAAUGAUAAUCCACGAUUUUAUUAAUUUUUAUUAUUAAUUUAUAUAUCGUCGUAAUUAAAUAUUUUUUUAGAAUAAAAAUAUUUAAAAUUUUUAUAAAAAAAUUAAUCAGAUCAAGGUGCAGUUUAUAUAAAAGUAGAAAUGGGUUACAAUAAAUUUAUUUUUGAAUUUUAAAUAUUAAUAUUUAAAUGAAAUUGGAUUUAAAUGUUAUAUUAAUUAAUUAGUUUAUAUGAAUUUGGC